AACGAACGCUGGCGGCAUGCCUAACACAUGCAAGUCGAACGAGACCUUCGGGUCUAGUGGCGCACGGGUGCGUAACGCGUGGGAACCUGCCCUUAGGUUCGGAAUAACUCCCCGAAAGGGGUGCUAAUACCGGUUAAUGUCUUCGGACCAAAGAUUUAUCGCCUUCGGAUGGGCCCGCGUUGGAUUAGCUAGUUGGUAGGGUAAAAGCCUACCAAGGCGACGAUCCAUAGCUGGUCUGAGAGGAUGAUCAGCCACACUGGGACUGAGACACGGCCCAGACUCCUACGGGAGGCAGCAGUGGGGAAUAUUGGACAAUGGGCGAAAGCCUGAUCCAGCAAUGCCGCGUGAGUGAUGAAGGCCUUAGGGUUGUAAAGCUCUUUUACCCGGGAUGAUAAUGACAGUACCGGGAGAAUAAGCUCCGGCUAACUCCGUG
rnacentral:rRNA from 1 species